rnacentral:rRNA from 1 species
GACGAACGCUGGCGGCGUGCUUAACACAUGCAAGUCGAACGGAAAGGCCCUGCGUUUGUGGGGUGCUCGAUUGGCGAACGGGUGAGUAACACGUGAGUAACCUGCCCUUGACUUUGGGAUAACUUCAGGAAACUGGGGCUAAUACCGGAGAGGAGCUCCUGCUGCAUGGGGGUGGUUGGAGAGUGUCGGCGGUUGGGGAUGGACUCGCGGCUUAUCAGCUGGUUGGUGUGGUAGUGGCUGACCAAGGCUUUGACGGGUAGCCGGCCUGGGAGGGUGACCGGCCACAUUGGGACUGCGAGACGGCGCAGACUCCUACGGGAGGCAGCAGUGGGGAAUAUUGCACAAUGGGCGGAAGCCUGAUGUAGCAACGCCGCGUGCGGGAUGCCGGCCUUCGGGUUGUAAACCGCUUUCGACUGUGACGAAGCGUGCGUGACGGUACUGGGUAAAGAAGCCCCGGCUAACUACGUG